rnacentral:rRNA from 1 species
AUUUUGGACAAUGGGGGAAACCCUGAUCCAGCCAUCCCGCGCGAAAGAUGAAGGCCUUCGGGUUGUAACGUACUUUUGGCAGAGAAGAAAAGGCAUCCCCUAAUACGAGACGCUGCUGACGGUAUCUUCAGAAUAAGCACGGGCUAAUUACGUGCCAGCGGCCGCUGUAAUACGUAGGGUGCAGCAGUUAAUCGGAAUUACUGGGCGUAAAGAGUGUGGAGUAGGUUCGGAAACAAAGAUGUUGAAACACCGGGCUCAUCCAUGGAGCUGCAUAUUUAACUACCGCGCUAGAGUAGGUUAGAGGGGGGUAGAAUUACACGUGUAGCAGUGGAAUGCGUAGAUAUGUGGAGGAAUACCGAUGGAGAAGGCAGCGCCCUGGGAUAAUACUGACGAUCAGACGCGAAAGCGUGGGGAGCAAACAGG